rnacentral:rRNA from 1 species
UACAGAGGGUGCAAGCGUUAAUCGGAAUUACUGGGCGUAAAGGGCGCGUAGGCGGCCUGUUAAGUCGAACGUGAAAUCCCCGGGCUCAACCCGGGAACUGCGUCCGAAACUGGCAGGCUUGAAUCCGGGAGAGGGAUGUGGAAUUCCAGGUGUAGCGGUGAAAUGCGUAGAUAUCUGGAGGAACAUCGGUGGCGAAGGCGACAUCCUGGACCGGUAUUGACGCUGAGGCGCGAAAGCCAGGGGAGCAAACGGG